AAGACUUGUUUCUCCCCCAGGGUAGAGCUUUUGUGACAUCACACUAGAGCUGGAGGUAGAGAUAGUGACCUAGUUCUCAUGGAGUAGCACUGUUUGAGGAGGGCUCACUGGGAACAUGAUACGGUGGUCCCUAGUUUUCCUGGUUUGCCUUCCUCAAAGUAAAAUCUCUGCCUUAUGAAUGAGCUGAACAGGAUCAACUGGGACCCUGCUUUGGAUCAGCAUGACAUGCCUGGGGGGAGUUUCUAAUUUAUGAAUGAGGCUCCUUGGGGAAGAGAGACCUGAUCUCUCUGCUGCUCUUGCCUGGAAUAAAGCUCCUACAACAAGGGACUGAGAGAUGAGAAAAACCUGACAGCAUGCUCUUCACAAGUUGGAAAUGUAGUCCUACACUGAUGCUAUGAGGAAAGGGAGCCUCCAUCUUCAUCACUGUACUUACCAGAAUGAGAGCUCCUGGAACAUUUUCAUAAGAAGUGAUGUGGGGGAAGAAAAAGGACAGGAGUGAAAAUAAAUGUUUCCAGAAGAAAAAUGAGUCCAGUGGGAAUGUGUCAAACGUUUUAAUCAACAGCCUAAAUCUUUGGAGGAGAAAUGAUAAGUUCUUCUCAGCAUUAAAGACAAGCAAUGCAGAGAUUCUGAUCAGAGACCAGUAAUGCAAUACAGCUAAAGCAG
rnacentral:lncRNA from 1 species